rnacentral:rRNA from 1 species
AACGAACGCUGGCGGCAGGCCUAACACAUGCAAGUCGAACGCUCGUAGCAAUACGAGAGUGGCAGACGGGUGAGUAACACGUGGGAACCUUCCCUAUGGUUCGGAAUAGCUCAGGGAAACUUGAGGUAAUACCGGAUAAGCCCUUACGGGGAAAGAUUUAUCGCCAUUGGAUGGGCCCGCGUCGGAUUAGCUAGUUGGUGAGGUAACGGCUCACCAAGGCGACGAUCCGUAGCUGGCUGAGAGGAUGAUCAGCCACACUGGGACUGAGACACGGCCCAGACUCCUACGGGAGGCAGCAGUGGGGAAUAUUGGACAAUGGGCGCAAGCCUGAUCCAGCCAUGCCGCGUGAGUGACGAAGGCCUUAGGGUUGUAAGCUCUUUGGCGGGAAGAUAAUGACGGUACCCGCAGAAUAAGCUCCGGCUAACUUCGUGCCAGCAGCAG